rnacentral:rRNA from 1 species
AUUGAACGCUGGCGGCAGGCCUAACACAUGCAAGUCGAGCGGAUGAAGGGAGCUUGCUCCUGGAUUCAGCGGCGGACGGGUGAGUAAUGCCUAGGAAUCUGCCUGGUCGUGGGGGAUAACGUCCUGAAACGGGCGCUAAUACCGCAUACGUCCUGAGGGAGAAAGUGGGGGAUCUUCGGACCUCACGCUAUCAGAUGAGCCUAGGUCGGAUUAGCUAGUUGGUGGGGUAAAGGCCUACCAAGGCGACGAUCCGUAACUGGUCUGAGAGGAUGAUCAGUCACACUGGAACUGAGACACGGUCCAGACUCCUACGGGAGGCAGCAGUGGGGAAUAUUGGACAAUGGGCGAAGGCCUGAUCCAGCCAUGCCGCGUGUGUGAAGAAGGUCUUCGGAUUGUAAAGCACUUUAAGUUGGGAGGAAGGGCAGUAAGUUAAUACCUUGCUGUUUUGACGUUACCAACAGAAUAAGCACCGGCUAACUUCGUG